rnacentral:rRNA from 1 species
UUUAAUUCGAUGCAACGCGAAAACCUUACCCACCUUUUGACAUGUACGGAAGUUGCCAGAGAUGGCUUCGUGCUCGAAAGAGAGCCGUAACACAGGUGCUGCAUGGCUGUCGUCAGCUCGUGUCGUGAGAUGUUGGGUUAAGUCCCGCAACGAGCGCAACCCUUGUCAUUAGUUGCUACAUUCAGCUGGGCACUCUAAUGAGACUGCCGGUGACAAACCGGAGGAAGUGGGGAUGACGUCAAGUCCUCAUGGCCCUUAUAGGUGGGGCUACACACGUCAUACAAUGGAUGGUACAAAGGGUCGCCAACCCGCGAGGGGGAGCCAAUCCCAUAAAGCCAUUCGUAGUCCGGAUUGUUCUCUGCAACUCGAGAGCAUGAAGUCGGAAUCGCUAGUAAUCGCAGGUCAGCAUACUGCGGUGAAUACGUUCCCGGGUCUU